CCGCCACUUGCGUGGUGGUCAGCGCGGCCACUUGGGCGGUGGUCAGUACCGCCACCUGGGCGGUGGUCAGGGCCACCACCUGAGCAGUGGUC
rnacentral:tRNA from 1 species